UUGCCCAUUUUUACACAUGAAAAUCCAGAUAUAGUUUAGAUUCUUUCUUCGAUCUUUCUGAUCUUGAGUGAGGAGCUAAAUUAGUUUGACGGAUUGUCACUUCUUAAUCUUCCAAAACCUGACAUAGGAAGUUAACUUGUUCCAACAAGUUGAGAAAUUGGCUCGUUACUUCUAUCUAAACUAUGGGCUCGAUGGCUCAUGGUCCUGAAUGUUACCUUCUUUCCAUUGCCUAGCCUCUGUUUUUAAAUUGUUCAGAUUUGGAUGGUGUGUUACCGCUUCCUAGUGC
rnacentral:lncRNA from 1 species